AUUGAACGCUGGCGGCAGGCCUAACACAUGCAAGUCGAACGAGUGGCGGACGGGUGAGUAAUGUCUGGGAAACUGCCCGAUGGAGGGGGAUAACUACUGGAAACGGUAGCUAAUACCGCAUACCAUCGGAUGUGCCCAGAUGGGAUUAGCUAGUAGGUGGGGUAAAGGCUCACCUAGGCGACGAUCCCUAGCUGGUCUGAGAGGAUGACCAGCCACACUGGAACUGAGACACGGUCCAGACUCCUACGGGAGGCAGCAGUGGGGAAUAUUGGACAAUGGGCGAAAGCCUGAUCCAGCCAUGCCGCGUGUGUGAAGAAGGCCUUCGGGUUGUAAAGCACUUUAAGUGGGGAGGCGUUACUAGCAGAAGAAGCACCGGCUAACUUCGUGCCAGCAGCCGCGGUAAUAC
rnacentral:rRNA from 1 species